ensembl:snRNA U6 U6 spliceosomal RNA
GUGCUCACUUCAGCAGCACAUAUACUAAAAUUGGAACGAUAUAUUAGCAUGGCCCCUGCACAAGGAUGACACGCAAAUUUGUGAAGUGUUCCAUUUUUUU